UUGUUUAAUAGUAUUCUAUUUUACCAUUUUUCGUUUAUAUUUCACUUAUUGGUUUCGUCAAGUUUAUUUCGUUAUAUAAAUAACGUUAGAACUGUUUUUCUAGAAUGUUUUCGAAAUUUGAAUCGCGUUUAUAAUAGGCCAAUAUAAGUAUUUGUGAGUAUAAAAGGUCUAUACAAUAACUUUUAACCGAAAAACAACAAAACACCCAAAUGCCGUUACGCUUUGCCGUAUUUACUACGUUUUUUUUUUCGUUUUUUUUUUUCAUAGUUAAUGGCAAAACUACACGGACAAUCAAACGCUGACUUUCUUACCCAUAAACAAUUUGA